rnacentral:lncRNA from 1 species
AAGGUUACUGAGAAAAAAAAAAUUAUAUUUUAAAUGACGCUCUAUUCUAUCAUCUUUAAUAUUUGGCAUAUGCAGACACUAUGAUUAAGCGUCAUCAAUAAAUAUAUUUUUAUCAAAUACUGAUAAAAAUUCUCCGACGUUAUAUUAAAGUGUCGGUAUAUUUAUCCCGACAUGUUUACUUAACGACUCUUUGUUCGACGCUUUUACAAGCGUCAGAGUUAUUAUUGCCGACGCUUUGAAACGUCGCUAGUUAUUAUAUAAAGUGUUCUUAAAUAUAAAAUUUACGAAUUAGAAUAUCUUCCUAC